AAGUCGUAACAAGGUUUCCGUAGGUGAACCUGCGGAAGGAUCAUUAGUGAAGUCUACAUGGAGCGCUGUUAAUUCAGGCUCCGACAACACUUUUCAUACACCUGUGCAUCUGACCCUAUUUUAUAUAACGCUAAUGUAAAGUCAAAGGAAAAUGUGUAUAUCACAACAAACAUAAUUUAAAUCAAAACUUUCAACAACGGAUCUCUUGGCUCUC
rnacentral:misc_RNA from 1 species